rnacentral:rRNA from 1 species
CCUACGGGAGACAGCAGUGGGGAAUAUUGCACAAUGGGGGAAACCCUGAUGCAGCGACGCCGCGUGAGUGAAGAAGUAUUUCGGUAUGUAAAGCUCUAUCAGCAGGGAAGAGAAUGACGGUACCUGAGUAAGAAGCCCCGGCUAACUACGUGCCAGCAGCCGCGGUAAUACGUAGUGGGCAAGCGUUAUCCGGAUUUACUGGGUGUAAAGGGAGCGGAGACGGCGAAGAAAGUCAGAAGUGAAAGCCCGCGGCUCAACCGCGGAACUGCUUUGGAAACUUUUUUGCUGGAGUACCGGAGAGGUAAGCGGAAUUCCUAGUGUAGCGGUGAAAUGCGUAGAUAUUAGGAGGAACACCAGUGGCGAAGGCGGCUUACUGGACGGUAACUGACGUUGAGGCUCGAAAGCGUGGGGAGCAAACAGGAUUAGAUACCCCUGUAGUC